rfam:Colletotrichum gloeosporioides Cg-14 contig01990, whole genome shotgun sequence.
UUCUUAUCGUGAGAGGUGGAGGGACUGGCCCUUUGAAACCUCAGCAACCGGUAUGCAUCACUUCAUGUGAUGUACCAAGGUGCUAAAUCCAGCAAGCAGCUUUUUUGCUUGGAAGAUAAGAG